AGUGAACGCUGGCGGCAGGCCUAAUACAUGCAAGUCGAACGGCAGCACAGCAGAGCUUGCUCUGUGGGUGGCGAGUGGCGGACGGGUGAGGAAUACAUGGGAAUCUGCCCAGUCGUGGGGGAUAACGUAGGGAAACUUACGCUAAUACCGCAUGCGCCCUUCGGGGGAAAGCCGGGGACCUUCGGGCCUGGCGCGAUUGGAUGAGCCCAUGUCGGAUUAGCUAGUUGGCGGGGUAAAGGCCCACCAAGGCGACGAUCCGUAGCGGGUCUGAGAGGAUGAUCCGCCACACUGGGACUGAGACACGGCCCAGACUCCUACGGGAGGCAGCAGUGGGGAAUUUUGGACAAUGGGCGCAAGCCUGAUCCAGCCAUGCCGCGUGAGUGAAGAAGGCCUUCGGGUUGUAAGACUCUGUCUGGAGGGACGGAAGGAAGUGACGGUACCUCCGGAGGAAGCCACGGCUAACUACGUGCCAGCAGCCGCGGUAAUAUCACGU
rnacentral:rRNA from 1 species